rnacentral:rRNA from 1 species
CCUACGGGUGGCAGCAGUGAGGAAUAUUGGUCAAUGCGCGCGAGCCUGAACCAGCCAAGUAGCGUGAAGGAUGACUGCCCUACGGGUUGUAAACUUCUUUUAUAAAGGAAUAAAGUGAGGCACGUGUGCCUUUUUGUAUGUACUUUAUGAGUAAGGAUCGGCUAACUUCGUGCCAGCAGCCGCGGUAAUACGGAGGAUCCGAGCGUUAUCCGGAUUGAUUGGGUUUAAGGGGAGCGUAGAUGGGUUGUUAAGUCAGUUGUGAAAGUAUGCGGCUCAACCGUAAAAUGGCAAUUGAUACUGGCAGCCUUGAGUACAGUUGAGGUAUGCAGAAUUCGUGGUGUAGCGGUGAAAUGCGUAGAUAUAACGAAGAACUCCGAUAGCGAAGGCAGCUUACUAAACUGCCACUGACAUUGAUGCUCGAAAGUGUGGGUAUCAAACAGGAUUAGAUACCCCAGUAGUC